UACGGAAGGCAGCAGGGAAUCUUCCGCAAUGGGCGAAAGCCUGACGGAGCAACGCCGCGUGAGUGAAGAAGGUCUUCGGAUCGUAAAACUCUGUUAUUAGGGAAGACAAAUGUGUAAGUAACUAUGCACGUCUUGACGGUACCUAAUCAGAAAGCCACGGCUAACUACGUGCCAGCAGCCGCGGUAAUACGUAGGUGGCAAGCGUUAUCCGGAAUUAUUGGGCGUAAAGCGCGCGUAGGCGGUUUUUUUAAGUCUGAUGUGAAAGCCCACGGCUCAACCGUGGAGGGUCAUUGGAAACUGGAAAACUUGAGUGCAGAAGAGGAAAGUGGAAUUCCAUGUGUAGCGGUGAAAUGCGCAGAGAUAUGGAGGAACACCAGUGGCGAAGGCGACUUUUCUGGUCUGUAACUGACGCUGAUGUGCGAAAGCGUGGGGAUCGAAACAGGGAUUAGAUACC
rnacentral:rRNA from 1 species